rnacentral:rRNA from 1 species
UACGAAGGGGGCUAGCGUUGCUCGGAAUCACUGGGCGUAAAGGGCGCGUAGGCGGCCAUUCAAGUCGGGGGUGAAAGCCCAGGGCUCAACCCUGGAAUUGCCUUCGAUACUGUCUGGCUAGAGACCGGAAGAGGUAAGUGGAACUGCGAGUGUAGAGGUGAAAUUCGUAGAUAUUCGCAAGAACACCAGUGGCGAAGGCGGCUUACUGGUCCGGUUCUGACGCUGAGGCGCGAAAGCGUGGGGAGCGAACAGG